CAAGAAAUAUUAAUUAUUAUUAUUAUUGGGAAAAUCACCCUGAACGUGCGAAUUUAUGAAGGUGGAAAGUAGGGAUGAGAAAAAGCUAAAAAUAAUAAGGUAAUGAUGAAAGAAUCGCAUUAAAGGUGGAGAGCUGUCCUCUCUCUUUCUCUCUGUCUCUGUGUCGUGGAAUGGAAACCCUUUCAAAAUAUAAUGAAUUUAAAUAUUAAUUUUGUCUUUUAGUUUUUUUUGACUGAACCCAACCGGACGACUGGCAACAGCAGGUGAUCAAUUACAACUGCAUAUAUACAUAGAUACAUACAAUACACCCCGUAAAUGAAAGAAACACAUUAAAUUAAUAUGAAUAACUUUUUCCUAUUUCCUUUACUAUUAUUCUCGAAAUUUUAAAUUCUAGUUUUCUUUUAUCUUUUAUGUUUGUUUAUUUGUGGAGUGUAUUUGGUGCUUUGGGUUUUGUUUUCUUAAUUUGUUUGCACUUAAAUCGAAUACCGUUUUGGAUAAUCUUAAUUUUGGAAGAUAAUGUGAGUGUAGUAAAACUGCCAUUAUUGGCGUUAAUGUAUUUCUCUCUCAUAAUUGAAAAUGCUCUUAAAAUUGUCUUUUGGCACUAUAAAUUUGAAGAGAAAUAUAGCUAGGGUUUCUUCAAAGUGUGUUGAAAACAAAGGUCUUCUCUCUCUCUCUCUCUCUCUCUUGAGGAGAAUAUUGGGUUUUGAAAAGGGAAUUCAAUUUGUCGGAAAACAACAGUUCAAAUCUAUAUAUACUGGCCAAAGCUCCAAAUAUUACCCUCUCAAAGAAACUUGUCUAUCUAUAUUCAAAAACCUCUCUCUUUCCAAGCCUUUUUUUUAUUAUUAGUUUUCUUUUUUGCUGUUGUUCGUGUUUCUUUCUUAUAUAUAGAUCUUUCUCUGUGUGAAGGAUAAGGGUGAGAGGAAUGUUGUCUGGCUCGAGGUCAUGGAGUUUCAUGAAUUUCUACAUCAUAUAAUAUUUGAUGAGAACCUAAAUGAUUCUCGGACCAGGCUUCAUUCCCCUCAACCAAUAUUUCCUUUGAACUAUAUAUAAUGCCAUUCGUCAGAUCAAGAUGUUAUACACACCCAGAUCUAAUUCUUAGGCCGGUUCUGCAGGCAGCUAGAUUCUCGGAUCUUGUUUGUAGUGUAAUUAUGAUCAACUUCAGUGAGUUCAACUUUGUUUAAGUACUGAGUGUAAGUUUUUCUUGUAUAUAUAUAUAUAUGUCUCUCUUUUAUUUGUUGGUUGCGUGAAGAUGUAAUUUUUCCAAAUGGUUUGGUGAACAGUUUUAUUCUUGUUAAGUACGUUACCAAGGACAUCCAUGUGUAUGAUUGUAUUUUGAAGUGUUAACCACAUUCAUA